GACGAACGCUGGCGGCGUGCUUAACACAUGCAAGUCGAACGGAAAGGCCCUGCUUUUGUGGGGUGCUCGAGUGGCGAACGGGUGAGUAACACGUGAGUAACCUGCCCUUGACUUUGGGAUAACUUCAGUAAACUGGGGCUAAUACCGGAUAUGAGCUCCUGCUGCAUGGUGGGGGUUGGAAAGUUUCGGCGGUUGGGGAUGGACUCGCGGCUUAUCAGCUUGUUGGUGGGGUAGUGGCUUGCCAAGGCUUUGACGGGUAGCCGGCCUGAGAGGGUGACCGGCCACAUUGGGAAGGAGAUACGGCCCAGAAGCCUACGGGAGGAAGCAGUGGGGAAUAUUGCACAAAGGGAGGAAGCCUGAUGCAGCAACGACGCGUGCGGGAUGACGGCCUUCGGGUUGUAAACCGCUUUCGCCUGUGACGAAGCGUGAGUGACGGUAAUGGGUAAAGAGGCACCGGCUAACUACGUG
rnacentral:rRNA from 1 species